rnacentral:misc_RNA from 1 species
UCCGAUUUAUCAUCGGCAGUUUCUCUAGAGUCCCCAGCAUAACCUGAUGGUAACUAAAGAUGAGGGUUGCGCUCGUUGCGGGACUUAACCCAACAUCUCACGACACGAGCUGACGACAGCCAUGCAACACCUGUGUGUGGUCCAGCCGAACUGACGAGUACAUCUCUGUACUCUACGACCACCAUGUCAAAGGCUGGUAAGGUUUUUCGCGUUGCUUCGAAUUAAACCACAUACUCCACCGCUUGUGCGAGCCCCCGUCAAUUCCUUUGAGUUUUAAUCUUGCGACCGUACUCCCCAGGCGGAAUGCUUAUCAAGUUAUCUUCGACACCGAAUAAAUCCGAUAUCUAGCAUUCAUCGUUUACAGCGUGGACUAC